GACGAACGCUGGCGGCGUGCUUAACACAUGCAAGUCGAGCGGUAAGGCCCUUUCGGGGGUACACGAGCGGCGAACGGGUGAGUAACACGUGGGUGACCUGCCCUCAGCUCUGGGAUAAGCCUGGGAAACCGGGUCUAAUACCGGAUAUGACUCCAUGACGCAUGUUGUGGGGUGGAAAGCCUUGUGCGGCUGAGGAUGGGCCCGCGGCCUAUCAGCUUGUUGGUGGGGUGAUGGCCUACCAAGGCGACGACGGGUAGCCGGCCUGAGAGGGCGACCGGCCACACGUGGGACUGAGACACGGCCCAGGCUCCUACGGGAGGCAGCAGGUGGGGAAUCUUGCGACAAGUGGGCGAAAGCCUGACGCAGCGACGCCGCGUGAGGAUGACGG
rnacentral:rRNA from 1 species